AGAUUUCUUCAAUUUUCUUCAUCCUCUUCAGCUAAAAAUAGCCAUUGAAGAAACCUUAGAGCUGGUUUUUCAUUUUUUUACUGCAAAUCGAGAACCAAAGAAAACAGAAUUAGAUCAGGGGAAAUCGAAAGUAGUUGAAUAGCCGUUCGUUUCCAUUCAUUCUGUACAAGAUCAUCGAAGCUAACUCAGAUUCGGGGAUUGUCUGGAAGCGUCAUCACACUAUCAAUCAAUAUUUUGGUACUUUUGAAGUUAUGUAUAUAUUGGUAUAUGACAUGUAUAGGCUAGUGUCACAAUGGUAUAUUUUGGCUUGUAGAUGAAGUGUGUUUGUGGUCAUUUUAAUUGGCUUUAAAUGGUGAGUUUGGCUCAUGUUAUGUGAUGCAUAUAUAAUGUCUAGGUGAUAGUUCAUUUUGGUAAGUGAUUUAGUUGUUGAUUUAGUAGGUCAUGAAGCAUGUUUUAAUUGAUGAUAUAAGUGGCAUGAUUUAGACUUGAA